rnacentral:lncRNA from 1 species
CAGGAACUAGAAGAUGACAACACAAUAUUGAAACAACAGUCAAUCUCCAAAGCUUUUUCACCAACUCAUACUUGUAAAUAGGGGUACAAGUACAACAAGUGUAGUUAAAUACAACAAAUAUUCAGUAAGUAUAUUCCACUCUCCCCAACAAAGUAGUGACAAAAAUUUACUUAAAAUACUAACUUCUGAACUUGUGCAAUUAUUAUGUCCAGCAAUAACAAUAAUACCAAAGCACGGAAACAGCAUAAACGAGUAUGCACAAAUAAAGCAUAUAAAAAUAUGCAUGUCCCGCAUCUGGCAGGAUGCACACAGUUGUUGAUAAAAUGAGCAAAGUCACCAGUUUUCUGAUGAGUAACUGACAAACCACCCAACUUUUUUGUUUUUUUUUGUUUUCUAUCCGGUGUUCGGAGCCUACAUUGGAACCCCGACUAAGUUUGAAUCACGCAUUGUAGGACUCAUUCUGGGGUGACGCUCCCAACAAGAUUUUCUUCUUAAGACAAUAUGAUAUUGAAUUCCCCUCCUA